rnacentral:miRNA from 10 species
AGUAGAGGCGGGGUUUCACCAUGUUGGUCAGGCUGGUCUCAAACUCCUGACCCCAGGUGAUCCA